rnacentral:rRNA from 1 species
UACGAAGGGGGCUAGCGUUGUUCGGAAUCACUGGGCGUAAAGGGCGCGUAGGCGGCCUGAUAAGUCGGGGGUGAAAGCCUGUGGCUCAACCACAGAAUUGCCUUCGAUACUGUUAGGCUUGAGACCGGAAGAGGUAAGUGGAACUGCGAGUGUAGAGGUGAAAUUCGUAGAUAUUCGCAAGAACACCAGUGGCGAAGGCGGCUUACUGGUCCGGUUCUGACGCUGAGGUGCGCAAGCGUGGGGAGCAAACAGG